ACCCUGCAAGGAAGUUCUACUGCAAAGAAACAAAGAAUGCAAUCUUGAGCAUCUACUUGGAAGGCACUCCAGAAGCAUACCAACUUAAUGUAGACAGGAUCUGCAUUACUAUCCCUAAGAAGACUUAAAUCUUCGGAAUUUGGAAGAAAAACUCUAUUUUGUGCAGCGUGAUAAACCUGUCAGGAAACAGAAGACAAACUCCUGCCUGAUCUAAGGUUGUGGAAAGCUUUCAACUCACAAGAGAAGAAUUUCAUGGGGGAAUUAACAGACCGAGAAGGAGACAAAGAGGAGAAAAGUGCAGAAUGAGAACUGUGUUCAUAACAUAUAGAAAGAUUGUACAGCGUCGUGUCCAUGAACUUCCAGGGUUCGCAUUAAAAUCUGACAGAACAUCAGAGUGCCAGAAGCUUCUCAUAUUGUGGCUCUGGAGAAAUUGACUCCUGACGUCUGGCAGCAGUAUGUUUCACAUCAGUGAAAUGCAUCUUGUUCACAAUGUACUUAAGAUCUCUGUAUUUAGAUAUUGGUCCUGCAGAAGCAUAAUUGUGGAAGAAUAUUCUGGGCACUGGGAUGGGAUUUAUUUAUCUAAAAUGCUACCAUAGAAAGUAAAAGUAUCAGCUGCUUUCUUUUUCUGUCACCCUCUGUAUGUUGUAAGCAACAACUGAAGUAACUUGCAUUGGGUUUGCUUGUAUUUGCUCACUUGAAAAAUACAGUGCAUCUGAUUU